CAGAUUGUAUCGUCAAUGGUAACGAGCCUGCAUUGGGAGCAGGAACUUAUAGGUUCAAGUCCUAUCGAUCUGA